AGGAAAAUACACUCAAGGGUUCUGAAAUUUCUUUUGUGUAAGAAAGAACUUUUUAUAAAUAAUAAUUUCAGUUAUGUCCAUAACUAAAAAUCAAGGAUUCCAUUUAUAUGAAAUAUCUAGAAUAGGAAAACCUAUAGAGAUAGAAAGUAGAUUAGUGGUAGUCAAGGGCUAAGAGGAUAUGGGGAGACUGGGAAUGACAGCUAAGGGAUGUGGGGCUUCUUUUUGAGAUAAUGAAAGCAUUCUACAACCCUGUCUC
rnacentral:lncRNA from 10 species